UAUAUGUAAAUUAUUUACACCAAUUUUGAAUAAGCAUUUACAGAGUUAGGUGCAGAAAAAUGGUCUGUUGUCAAAUGAGCAGGCAGGUUUUUGUAGUGGUUCUUUCUGUGUGGAUCUGAUGUUUAUUCUAAAUGCUCUGAUUCAAUGUAGGUUAUGGAAGAAACAUUCAAAACUUUGUGAUUUUUGUGGAUUUUAAAACUGCAUUUCAGUAAAUCAUGAAAUUUUGUGGGGACUGUUAAGGGGAAAUGAACAUUGAUGCCAGUACUUUGUUUCUUUUAAAGGACAUUUAUAAGAAGGCAACCAUUAAAGUUAGAACAUUUUCCAGUUUGUUGGACUCUUUUUUAUUAGAUAUAGGUGUUCUCCAAGGGGAAAUACUGAGCCUGCUGCUGUUUAUAUUGUAUAUUAAUGGGCUGAUUGUGUGCUUAAAUAGAUUGGAUCUUUCUGAUGAAAUGGAUU
rnacentral:lncRNA from 1 species